rnacentral:lncRNA from 1 species
AUAUUCACUCACAUGCUGAACUGGUACGUAAUAGCCCAGUACCAUCUUAGGUCUUUGGUUUAGAAAACUAAAUCGUUUUUACCAGAGUCGGAAUUAUUGUGUGAUGUGAUUCCUGGAGUCCACUUUUCCACUUCUGUAUUUGUAUUUGUAGGGUGUUAGAACACCAACCUUACAGCUCUCUGCGAUGCAAGAAGGAGACUACACUUACCAGCUCACAGUGACUGACACAAUAGGACAGCAGGCCACUGCUCAAGUGACUGUUAUUGUGCAACCUGAAAACAAUAAGCCUCCUCAGGCAGAUGCAGGCCCAGAUAAAGAGCUGACCCUUCCUGUGGAUAGCACAACCCUGGAUGGCAGCAAGAGCUCAGAUGAUCAGAAAAUUAUCUCAUAUCUCUGGGAAAAAACACAGUGA